rnacentral:tRNA from 1 species
GCCUGCUUAGCUCAGAGGUUAGAGUACCGCACUUGUAAUAUAAUGGUCAUCGAUUUGAUUGACUCCGAUAGCUGGCU